AACCUUAUGGACCUGCGGGCGUAUACCUGCGGAAGGAUCAUUACAAGUGACCCCGGUCUAACCACCGGGAUGUUCAUAACCCUUUGUUGUCCGACUCUGUUGCCUCCGGGGCGACCCUGCCUUCGGGCGGGGGCUCCGGGUGGACGCUUCAAACUCUUGCGUAACUUUGCAGUCUGAGUAAACUUAAUUAAUAAAUUAAAACUUUCAGCAACGGAUCU
rnacentral:misc_RNA from 1 species